CUUAGAUAUGAGUCAGAAACGAAAGGGAUCGGUGGCAUAGAUCCGAGCACCAUCCAAGAAAAGGAUUAUGGAAGAGACAGAAUGGCAUGGCAUGUGACCUACAUUGACGUGUACAGCUAUCUUGUCUGCAGAUGAGCUUGUUGAGCAGUAAAAUGUGAUUAAUAAUUUUCUUGGUGCACAAUAUUGUCUUCUAGCAAAACAAGUAAAAUAAUAUGCCAUUUGUUUGCAGUCGAUGUCUUUAAUCAGGAAACACAAUUUUCUUUAUUUGUUUAUAUUUCACUAGCAUAACACUCUUUGGUAUUUUUAUUUUCUCAUCACCAGUUCCAAUGCCUACACCAAAGAGCAGAUGAAGCAUUACAAGGCUCUGGAUGGUUACAAACUCUUCCAGGAUGGCUGGAUCAAGGAGAUGCUUCAUAAGCUGAUUGGGACAUCACAUGUCUUAAAAGUCAAGGUGACACAGUCCAUGCAGGUGGCAAAAAACCCACUGGAACCCUGGGUAGUGAGUGAUAAACCAGGAUGAAAGUGCACACUGCGCUUGCAUGUCAGGUUUGUCAGAAGCCUGCAGCCAUAUUGCUGCAGUUCUUUUCUGCCGUUGAGUCAUGUGCCUGUGUACUGAAGGAGGCCACCCCAGCCGACCUGCCAGCCUAUUGGCUGUUACCAACAGCUGGUCCCCAUGAGGUCCAGUUUUCCAAGUUAAAGGACAUGAAUUUGAAGUCUGCUGCUAAGAAACGGAGGAGAGCCAUGAAGGAUAAUCAACAGCAGGUUGACAAGAAAAAAAAUAAGUCCACCAUCAACAAAAAAAGAAGUGGAAGAUUCCAGUGCUUUGAAUUCAUCAUCAAAUGCAGUUGUUUUAUCAGUUGUUGAUGAUUAUGCUCAUAAUUUUAUGCAAAAGCCAUAAAUGUCAUUCGAGUAUGCAAGUCUAAAAUGGGCACCUCUAAAAUGGGGGAUUAAGCAUGAAGACAAGGCCAAGCAAGAAUACCUUGCAAAAUGCAAAGGGAGCAUCAUUGUUUUAUCAUGAUUGAGUCAGGACUCCACAUGAACCCUGAAUAUCCUGUUUUUGGGGCCUCACCAGAUGCCAUGGUAUCAUGAGAGUGCUGUGGUGCUGGAUGUGUGGAAAUUGUGUCCUGCCAGACUGAAAUCGAAAGAUUUUACAUACCAAGACCUAGACUUUUUGCAGCUAGUAGGAGAAAUAUGCAUAUCGUGCAUAUAUAUAUAUAGUGCAGCGGCAUGUGAAACAUUUGAGUGAGACAGGGACUGCGCUGAACAAGCUAAACAGGAUUUUCAAGGGCAGAUAGCUGUGUUGUUGACGAUAGCUACGCUCUCUUGGUGAUGGGAAGAAACCACAAAUUUGUAUACCUACACACGUCCGUGCAGAAACUGUAUAAUAGUCUCCGAUGACUUGUACACUGAUAUAAGGGAGGCUAUCAGUGCCUAGACCUACAGAAGUCGAGUUGUCUCCCAUACAACACAGCCUUUUAUAGUUACGCACACUCGCUUAUGUUAUUUAGCAUCUUGAUCGUCACAUUUAUUUUACAGGUGUGCGCCUUCCUCUGAAAACGUCUGUAUGUGAAUAUAUGUGCAUAAUAAAGCAACCAUAUGGUAUAUAA
rnacentral:lncRNA from 1 species